UACGGGGGGUGCAAGCGUUACUCGGAAUCAUUGGGCGUAAAGGGCGCGUAGGCGGCCUGGUAAGUCAGGUGUGAAAGCCCGGGGCUCAACCCCGGAAGUGCAUUUGAUACUGCCAGGCUUGAGUAUGGGAGAGGGAAGUGGAAUUCCUGGUGUAGAGGUGAAAUUCGUAGAUAUCAGGAGGAACACCGGUGGCGAAGGCGACUUCCUGGACCAAUACUGACGCUGAGGCGCGAAGGCGUGGGGAGCAAACAGGAUUAGAUACCCUGGUAGUCCACGCAGUAAACUUUGUUCACUAGGUGUAGCGGGUAUUGACCCCUGCUGUGCCGAAGCUAACGCAUUAAGUGAACCGCCUGGGAAGUACGGCCGCAAGGUUAAA
rnacentral:rRNA from 1 species